ACCUCGGUUAGACAUUGACUUGAGGCAGAAUAAUGAUAUUGCCUCAGUUACAACAAGACCCGAUACCUAUACCUCACUCGCUUAGUCUGACAACUGUUUUGAAAAGGCCUAUUGCCUCGGGUUGCCAGACAACAACUGCCUAUACAAUUGCCACCGUUUCAUUUCUCUGAUCCUAACCUACACACAUUUCUUCAUUCUAGUGCUCUCUCAUUCUUCCCCUCUGUGGGGUUUCGUCCACACUCUUCCAUUCUUGUUGGUGCUCUCCCAUUCUUCCUCUCCCUGUGCUGCCAGUGGUCUCGCCGGCCUCUUUCUUGCCAGUGCUCUCCCAUUCUUCCUCUCCUUGUGCUGUCAAUGGUCUUGCCAGCCUCUUUCUUGCCAGUGCUCGUGCAUGCCACUGCUCGUUGACGUUCUUGGUUGUGCCUCCUGCCUGCGUUGUCACACCAUUGGUGGCCCACCGCUGCUGCUUGGGUGCUUCCUCCACAACUCCACUCUUUUGUUGCUGUUGUAGCCUCCGUCGUUGCUGCCUUCGCCACUGUUACCUCUGCCAUUGCUGCCUCCGCCACUGCUGCCUCCGUCAGAAAUA
rnacentral:lncRNA from 1 species